rnacentral:rRNA from 1 species
CCUACGGGUGGCUGCAGUGAGGAAUAUUGGUCAAUGGACGCAAGUCUGAACCAGCCAAGCCGCGUGCAGGAUGACUGCCCUAUGAGUUGUAAACUGCUUUUGUACGAGGGUAAACGCAGAUACGCGUAUCUGUCUGAAAGUAUCUUACGAAUAAGGAUCGGCUAACUCCGUGCCAGCAGCCGCGGUAAUACGGAGGAUUCAAGCGUUAUCCGGAUUUAUUGGGUUUAAAGGGUGCGUAGGCGGGUGGAUAAGUUAGAGGUGAAAUCCUGAGGCUCAACUUCGGAAUUGCAUUUGAUACUGGUAGGCUAGAGAGUAGUUGCGGUAGGCGGAAUGUAUGGUGUAGCGGUGAAAUGCUUAGAGAUCAUACAGAACACCGAUUGCGAAGGCAGCUUACCAAGCUACUUCUGACGUUGAGGCACGAAAGCGUGGGGAGCAAACAGGAUUAGAUACCCGAGUAGUC